GGGAAUUUUGGACAAUGGGCGCAAGCCUGAUCCAGCCAUGCCGCGUGCAGGAUGAAGGCCUUCGGGUUGUAAACUGCUUUUGUACGGAACGAAAAGGUCUUCUCUAAUAAAGAGGGCUCAUGACGGUACCGUAAGAAUAAGCACCGGCUAACUACG
rnacentral:rRNA from 1 species